GACGUAGGGGGCAAGCGUUGUCCGGAUUUAUUGGGCGUAAAGCGCGCGCAGGCGGUCGCGUAAGUCUGCUGUGAAAUCUCCCUGGCUCAACCGGGAGGGGGCGGCGGAGACUGCGGGACUGGAGGGACCUAGAGGCCGGUGGAAUUCCCGGUGUAGUGGUGAAAUGCGUAGAGAUCGGGAGGAACACCUGUGGCGAAGGCGGCUCUCUGGACCGAGACUGACGCUGAGGCGCGAAAGCGUGGGGAGCAAACAGG
rnacentral:rRNA from 1 species